rnacentral:sRNA from 1 species
GCGGAGGAAAAGAAACCAACAGGGAUUGCCCUAGUAACGGCGAGUGAAGCGGCAACAGCUCAAAUUUGAAAUCUGGCGUCUUCGGCGUCCGAGUUGUAAUUUGCAGAGGGCGCUUUGGCAUUGGCAGCGGUCCAAGUUCCUUGGAACAGGACGUCACAGAGGGUGAGAAUCCCGUACGUGGUCGCUAGCCUUUACCGUGUAAAGCCCCUUCGACGAGUCGAGUUGUUUGGGAAUGCAGCUCUAAAUGGGAGGUAAAUUUCUUCUAAAGCUAAAUACUGGCCAGAGACCGAUAGCGCACAAGUAGAGUGAUCGAAAGAUGAAAAGCACUUUGGAAAGAGAGUUAAAAAGCACGUGAAAUUGUUGAAAGGGAAGCGCUUGCAGCCAGACUUGCCUGUAGUUGCUCAUCCGGGUUUCUACCCGGUGCACUCUUCUAUAGGCAGGCCAGCAUCAGUUUGGGCGGUUGGAUAAAGGUCUCUGUCAUGUACCUCCUCUCGGGGAGAACUUAUAGGGGAGACGACAUGCAACCAGCCCGGACUGAGGUCCGCGCAUCUGCUAGGAUGCUGGCGUAAUGGCUGUAAGCGGCCCGUCUUGAAACACGGACCAAGGAGUCUAACAUCUAUGCGAGUGUUUGGGUGUCAAGCCCGAGCGCGUAAUGAAAGUGAACGGAGGUGGGAACCUUUCGGGGUGCACCAUCGACCGAUCCUGAUGUCUUCGGAUGGAUUUGAGUAAGAGCAUAGCUGUUGGGACCCGAAAGAUGGUGAACUAUGCUUGAAUAGGGUGAAGCCAGAGGAAACUCUGGUGGAGGCUCGCAGCGGUUCUGACGUGCA